GCAGCUCCCUGAGAGGGGAUGCUGCAGGCCUUGUGAGGACUUUUAACCAGGCUUCAGACGUUGACAAGACAAGGCCUUGAGCAACCUUGUACAACACUAAAAUGGAUCCUGUAAGAGGAGAAUAAUAAAUGGCUACACACAGUCAAACUGAUAAGGUCAAUGAAAGCAAUAAGUGCCUUCUCAGAACUACUGAAAAUGGAUUCAACACUGCCUUCAGCUAAGAGCAAAUUCCAAAGCUGCAAAGCUCUGAAAGAGGAUUCUGCCAGAACCCACGCCUGAUCUCAUCAAUGAAUAUAAAAAACCUCCUCAGAAUGAGUAAUGAAUGCAAGUGCACUCGGAACAGUCAGAUUUUUUUAAAGUGAUUUAAAACUUAGCUUAAAUUAGUGUACUCCUACAGAAUAAUUUAAAUGCGUAAUUAAGAACGUUU